GCUGCUGGAAUGUUGCUACUUAGAAAUGGAAAGUUCACAAUUGGAAAGCUGAAAUCAUCUCUUUUGUCGUAAAGGUUUGUUUUCAACCGACCCUCAUUGUCAAUUUCUAGAUGUAAGUCAAGAUAUGAGGCCGACUUAACUGUAUCUGUAGUAUCCUUUAUCUCUAGCUCGAUUGGAUAGAUGCGUUCCACAUAGUCACCAAAUUUUGAAUUAUUUAGUGAAAGAACAUCAUCUAUAUAGCGAAAAGUAGAGUUAAAGGAUAUUGCUA
rnacentral:lncRNA from 1 species